GAUCAUGGCUCAGAUUGAACGCUGGCGGCAUGCCUUACACAUGCAAGUCGAACGGCAGCACGGGGGCAACCCUGGUGGCGAGUGGCGAACGGGUGAGUAAUACAUCGGAAUGUACCCAGUAGUGGGGGAUAACUAGUCGAAAGAUUAGCUAAUACCGCAUACGCACUAUGGUGGAAAGCGGGGGAUCGCAAGACCUCGCGCUAUUGGAGCAGCCGAUGUCCGAUUAGGUAGUUGGUGGGGUAAAAGCCUACCAAGCCUGCGAUCGGUAACUGGUCUGAGAGGACGACCAGUCACACUGGGACUGAGACACGGCCCAGACUCCUACGGGAGGCAGCAGUGGGGAAUUUUGGACAAUGGGCGCAAGCCUGAUCCAGCCAUGCCGCGUGAGUGAAGAAGGCCUUCGGGUUGUAAAGCUCUUUCGGUGGGGAAGAAAUUGCACAGGAUAAUACCUUGUGUAGAUGACGGUACCCGCAUAAGAAGCACCGGCUAACUACGUG
rnacentral:rRNA from 1 species